AUGGCAGCUGCUUCUCCUUCUCCUCCUUCUGCAUCUGGCUUCUCAAUGGAGGCAGUGUCACUGUCGGACGAGGCCACCUUCCUGGCCUUUGAGGUGGAGUGCCGGGCCGAACUCGGCUGGCUGAGCCGUUACAGCCACAAGGUCCUGUCCAUCUGGGCCCACGCCCUGCCCCCCAGAGGGGACUCUACCCUCCACAGCCUCAUGGGAAGAAAUAGGGCGCCUGUCCCUUUAAGAAGUAGCAGCAGCAUUGUGGGAUCGGGGCCCUUGAGGAGAGACCCGAUCCGGUCCUGAGAAAACUGACCUUGGCGGAGCCAAAAGGAAAAUACGAGCCGCAAUACAACCUGAAGCCGAAAUGAAGAAGGUCCGCCAAAGUUGAAGGAAAAUACGCCAAGGAGUCUUUAUUGAGCAAUUCAGCUGAAGAGGACUCUGGUAGCGAUCAUUCGACUUACCAGCAGUGCCAUACAAUCAAAAUAAAGCCAUAUUUAU
rnacentral:lncRNA from 11 species